GCACAGAGGGCCACAGAGGGCCACAGAGCGCCCCAGAGUGCCCCAGAGUCCACAGACUCUGCCCAGACGGCGACCAGGACUUCACUGGGGGCCUGGGCUGUGCCCAGAGAGGCUUCAGGUGUGAUCACUUGGGAACAAACAAGCAUCUCCAUAGAGAAGGUAUCAGCAUCCGUGACCAAACAAGCAGCUUCCCUAACACAUCCAUCCAGUCUUCAGAAAAGGUAAGGCAUCUUUCUUUUGGGACAGUCCAAGGACCGCUCUACUAUAUCUCCAUUGAACAAGGUGUCC